AGUGAACGCUGGCGGUAGGCCUAACACAUGCAAGUCGAACGGCAGCACAGUAAGAGCUUGCUCUUACGGGUGGCGAGUGGCGGACGGGUGAGGAAUACAUCGGAAUCUACUUUUUCGUGGGGGAUAACGUGGGGAAACUUACGCUAAUACCGCAUACGACCUACGGGUGAAAGCAGGGGAUCUUCGGACCUUGCGCGAUUGAAUGAGCCGAUGUCGGAUUAGCUAGUUGGCGGGGUAAAGGCCCACCAAGGCGACGAUCCGUAGCUGGUCUGAGAGGAUGAUCAGCCACACUGGAACUGAGACACGGUCCAGACUCCUACGGGAGGCAGCAGCGGGGAAUAUUGGACAAUGGGCGCAAGCCUGAUCCAGCCAUACCGCGUGGGUGAAGAAGGCCUUCGGGUUGUAAAGCCCUUUUGUUGGGAAAGAAAAGCAGCAGGUUAAUACCCCGCUGUUCUGACGGUACCCAAAGAAUAAGCACCGGCUAACUUCGU
rnacentral:rRNA from 1 species